GGACAGGCCAAUGGACACUCAGAGAGGAACUUGGAUUACAUGCUUAAUGCACUGAUUCAGAGAAGGAUAGAUGGUCUCUGAGAUGUCCAAGGUCAAGGUGGGGCCACCAAGUGGCACAAAAGCUGCCCCAGAAGGCAGAAGUUCAGGGUCCCCUCAGCCAUUUCCUCUAGUGCUGCGGGAAGUAAGCACCCCUAUGAACAGGCAGUUGCCCUAGUUAUCCGGCACCAUCUUUCUCCCUCACCCCGCUCCAUGCCUGCAAUCCAAGAUACUCUGGAGCCUGAGGCAGAAGAAUGGCAAAUUUCAGGUCCACCUGGCAAUUUAGCGGGACCCCGUCUCAAAAUAAAUAAAUAAAUAACCCAGUGUGGUAGCACACACCUGUAAUCCUAGCAGCUCAGGAGGCUGAGGCAGGAGGAGCUCAAGUUCAAAGUCAGUCUCAGCAACUUAGUGAGACCCUAAGCAACUUGGUGAGACCCUGCCUCAAAAUAAAAAAUAAAAAGGGCUGGAGAUGUGGCUUAGUGAUAAAGCACCUCUGGUUUAAAUCCCCAGUACCAAAAAUAAAAAUAAAACGGGCUGGAGGCAUAGCUCAGUGGUAACGUGUGAUGUGAGGUGACUCUUCUAUCCCAAGUCUAUCCCCUGAAUCUAGCUUAGGCAUCGCACUCUCAGGGCACUGGGAAUGGCUAAGACACUUAACAUAUAUUUAAAUCAGUCAGCUAGUUCAUGUGGGGCUAAAGUGCAUUCAUGAAGUGGCCUGAGAGGACCUCUAGGGAACAGCAGGGAAGUCCCUGGACCCUCCCAGCAGAAGUCUUUCCUUGCUGGGGCUCUUUAGACCAAAUGAUUAGUGGGUGCCACCCCCACCUCUAUGCAAACUGCUGGACACCUACGGUUUUGAAAACCAAAUGUUUCUUUUUAAACCUGUGGUGAGCUCUCAAAACCAGUGUUAGACACAUCAUCUGACCAGCGGAAAUGGCCUUCUUCUCUCUGGACCAUGCAACAGCUGAGACAGACCUUGGUGGGAUGAUGGGCUGAUAAUUUUGCUAGCACUUGAAGAACACACUACAAGAGAUCCAGAGG
rnacentral:lncRNA from 1 species